rnacentral:rRNA from 1 species
AAAUGGCGGCGGGCCAUAACACAUGCAAGUCGAACGAGAAAGGGUAGCAAUACCUGAGUAAAGUGGCGCACGGCUGAGUAACACGUGACUAACCUACCCUGGAGUGGGGGAUAACUGAGGGAAACCUUAGCUAAUACCGCAUAAUACCCACGGGUCAAAGGAGCAAUUCGCUUCAGGAGGGGGUCGCGGCCGAUUAGUUAGUUGGCGGGGUAAUGGCCCACCAAGACGAUGAUCGGUAUCCGGCCUGAGAGGGCGCACGGACACACUGGAACUGAAACACGGUCCAGACUCCUACGGGAGGCAGCAGUGGGGAAUUUUGCGCAAUGGGGGAAACCCUGACGCAGCAACGCCGCGUGGAGGAUGAAGUACUUCGGUACGUAAACUCCUUUCGAUCGGGACGAUUAUGACGGUACCGAGAGAAGAAGCCCCGGCUAACUUCGG